rnacentral:rRNA from 1 species
CACUCCUGCGGGAGGCAGCAGUGGGGAAUAUUGGACAAUGGGCGCAAGCCUGAUCCAGCCAUGCCGCGUGAGUGAUGAAGGCCCUAGGGUUGUAAAGCUCUUUCACCGGUGAAGAUAAUGACGGUAACCGGAGAAGAAGCCCCGGCUAACUUCGUGCCAGCAGCCGCGGUAAUACGAAGGGGGCUAGCGUUGUUCGGAUUUACUGGGCGUAAAGCGCACGUAGGCGGACUAUUAAGUCAGGGGUGAAAUCCCGGGGCUCAACCCCGGAACUGCCUUUGAUACUGGUAGUCUUGAGUUCGAGAGAGGUGAGUGGAAUUCCGAGUGUAGAGGUGAAAUUCGUAGAUAUUCGGAGGAACACCAGUGGCGAAGGCGGCUCACUGGCUCGAUACUGACGCUGAGGUGCGAAAGCGUGGGGAGCAAACAGGAUUAGAAACCCUGGUAGUCCCAUGAU